GCACUCCGCCCGGUGUGGAGGAGUCGAGGCGCACAGUCCCUGAAUUAAGCCUGAUUCCCGCACACAAUGACGCAGUCACUGCACAUUACGCCGAGACUCGCUGAAAGUCCACAUUUGCAGUGCGGGCUAACGACGCCAUUGUACCUGCCUGUACUAUGACUUACUAAGACCCACUAUGAGCCAGUAUGAAGGAGCUUCCAGUUCAUCCAUACGGACCUUGCGUCAGCAUUGAGGAUUUGAGGAGUCGGCAGAGAAGAAAGAGG